AAUGUCGCAGGAGGAGGCCAGCGUGACCGCGUCACUCAGCCCGCAGCUGCUGAACAGGCAGCAUCCUGGCCACCCUCUGUCGCAGAGGAGCCCGGGCCUGAGGUCCCUGCUCCAAGGAGCUGCCACCAACAGCCACCAAGUCCUUGUCAGCAGACUUGGGCCCAGCUCUUAGAUGUUCAAGCGACGUAGAAGGACAACGGGUGACAGUUUCAAACUGCAACCCCGAGUGUGUGAUUAUAACCCAGCUGAACCUUUAUGGAUUUCUCACUGUGUGCCCCACAUUGAGCAAAGCUCUUUUUGUGCCUCAUCUUAUGUACUUCUCUUGGCUCCUUCCGAGGCAGGGACUAAUACCACCCUCGGUACAAACCAGUGGGGAGCAACUUUCUGUGUCUGUGUGUUUGGGGAGGUCAUCCAGGCCCAGCUGAAACAUUUAAAGGACGGGUUUUUGUUGUUGUUGUUGGUUGGUUGGUUUUCAACUUUCAGGGUGAAUAUGUUUUUAACGACUUCUUUUUAGGGGGGAUAAAAGUGAUACUCUUACAGACACCGGCUUUAUGAAUAGAAGAAUACUAAUUUUAAAAACACUCUGCUUCUUAGACAAACAUCUAGGCAUUUCUGAGAAGUAGUGAAAUGAAAGCAGACUCCAACAUCUUUUGUCCUGGCAUCAGACUCUCGCUACUCUGCAGAGCUCAGAGGGCUUCUGACGGGCCCAGGACACUGCAGACGUGACAUUGCAUAAUUCAAGGCUCAGCGUCAGUGACGGUCCCCUACAUGUGAGCUCUUUUCCAUUCUAGAGCAAACUGGUUUAGAAGAGAUUUGUGGCUCUAUUAAAGUCUAGUGAAGGGAACGCUACCAACUGCAUCAGACUGGGGGCAGGAAGUUUCUCUAUUGCUGAAAUUCUAGUCAUUUCCAGACUCCUACUCAUGUUUUGGCAACUCCGAUUAGAGCAUCAGGGUUCAGCCUUUAAACUGUGACGCUGAUGGUCUUGAAUACUUGGAAAUGAACUAUGAGAUAUCUAAACAACUCAUCAAGUAUUUGAUGUACAGCUAUGUGCACGCCAUGAAUCCAGAUUCGGUGGUGUUCAAAAAACCGUCUAGUGUGGCCUCUGUCUUCAUUCCGCUCACACACGAUUCUGGGAGAUAAGACAAAUUUAGCGAAAGACAGCUGGAGAACACGUUCAAGUACUUGACCGUGCAGGGUACCGGCUGUAUGUGAACGGUAACUGUAGACCGCAUGGAGGAGAGGAGGGCAACAGACGGCGAGGGAGACGGACAAGCUCUGGAGGCAGAGAAAAGGGAGGGCACACGCCUCCAGGGUUUUCUGGAGAGCUUGAGCCGACUGUGUGUUGGAAAAAUCAGGACAAAAUGGCUUUGAUUCCACUCAAGUACGAUGUCAGCAAAGCCAGCAAUGAGAAUAAUUUCACAGCAACAGAGUUGGCUAUCUGAAUUUCACUCACGUAUCGACAGCAGAAACAGGAACUCGGAAGCCCUCGUCCCCUUGACAGAUACUGCGAGAUAUUCAGGGGAGAGCCUGCCGUCCGUGACACAUGGGCAAUCCCAGGGUCUGGAUUGGUCCUGAGAAACUCACGAGCUUCCUGGCCCUGAGUCAUGGUGUUCCAUAGCCAAAGAGGAAAGCGAAUUACUUAAGAGAAGCCUGGGCGCCGACCUUGAGAAUAAGUCACCAAGCAGGAAUUCUUUGUGGCUAUCUAGUUAUUGGCACCAAUAAAAACGUCAACCAUAAAUAACGAACGUGUGACUCUAAAAAUCCCUCUCAAAUCAGCAUGGUGGCAACGAAGAGACAAAAGAGUCAGCACACAGUGGCCAUAACUUCACCUCCUUUUCUGUCUGGCCAUUCAGGAAAAUUCCCAGAAAUACAAAUGGGGCCUGCUUCCGGAGUGCCUGCAGUGAUCCAGUGACUCAGCGACAGGCUCUUGGAACUCGGUAAUCUCUUCAAACCAGAGACUUGAGAAUCAGAAGCGUCUCUGAGGGCCAUGAGGUCGGCAGGCCCGGGGAGAGCACGGCAGGAGAAAGCGUCUGACGUGGGUUCGAGUCCCAGGCCCUUACCCUCUGCUGGCCCCAGAGUGCAUCCCUGACAUUACUUGGGCGAUGUACCGUGCUCCCUCAGGCUUCAUCUCUUCAUCUUCAAAAUGUGGAUGGCAAUCACAGAUCCUACACGUCAUCGGGUUACGGAAAGAAUCAAAGCCCAAAAUUCAGGCAUUCUUUUCGAAAUAAGGCCUUAUUCUAUGUGCUAGGUUCUUACCUACACACUGGGACUCACACGGAUGGGACGAGCCAAGUUCCCCACGCGAGAGCACUCACACAGAGGCCGGCACGCGGUAAGUGAUCACUUCUGUCCUUCCUUGUGCUUCUCUCACCUAGCACACACAUGCCACUGCAUCACCAUGGGGCCCUCCCGGAUGCCUGCCUUGGCUUCCCCAACUGUACUCCAUACCUUCCACCCGCUGGCCCGUCGCUGCCCUCUGGGGCCAACUGGCAGGCGUCUCUGCCCUCUGACCGGCUCGCCAGCAUGCAAAGACGUGUGAGUGUUUGGGGACAUCAUUCAGCACGUUCCACAAGCUAGGUCGUGCCAGGAGUGCUUCUCAGGUGUUCACGUGUUUCACUCCCAGAACCACCCACUGAGUACAAUUAACUACCGCUCCAUUUACGGUUUAAGGAAACUGACACACAGAGCAGUUAAGUAAUCUGCCUGAGACCACUCAGCUUCUGUGUCUCCUGAGUCCUGACUCCUGGCCUCCUCUCUUUCCAGUUGGCUCUGGAAGACAUUUCUAAAUCCUGUAACCUAUUCCUCCUGAAAUCUCGCCACGUCUGAUGGUUAAUAGAGUCAAAUGCAAACACCCAGGUCUCUACUGCCUCUAAACCACAAAGUGGGUGUGCCAGCUAGUGGUGGUGGUUGGGGGCACAGCGUGUUUAACUCUACAAGGGGAAACAGAGCUUACGAGUCUGUAGAGGUGCUUGGGAAAACCCACCCCAGUAUGUAGCCUUUGCCUACAACAUAAGUCAAACUGCAGGAGCUCGAGGUGUUUAAAUGGCUGCAUUAGCUUUUUUCCUCCUGAAUUCAUCCAGCACUUAGUUAUAUGCCCAGGACACACAGACCCACUGCCUUGACUGGUCAUACUGGAGCACUUAUCUUGACCCUCUAUCCGGCUGUAAAUUUCUUCAAGUUGGGACCUGGAUCUUGGUGUCCAUUCUGCUUAGCACAAGGACUCCUGCCCAGUAGAUCGCUGAUAAAUGUCAGCUGGAGGAACCAGAAAGAGAAAGAACAAAUGAGCGAGAAUCUGGUGCGGGGCCAGAUUCCACCGCCACCAGGGCAGGGGCUCCAGUCCAUCCAGGAGGACCACAGAAAGCAGGAAGCCAAGCAUACGGACCACAGGGCUCUUCAAAGGGCCUGGAGGAGGUUCCUUCUUGCAGCAUCAUCGCAGAAUGUGUAAACAGGAAUUCAAGGACUCAAGAGACCUAACAGGACCCUCACGAGCUGACACUCGCUGUAAGUGAAGGGGCCCACCUUUACUUAAAUAAACUGACAUUUUGGAGAAAAGACUGGCAGACAAACAGCCCUAAGAUAAACCAUUGGGGACCAGCCAGGCUGAUGUUUUGUUCACAUGUUUAUUGGGAGGGCGGUGCAUAUGUGUGUGCUCCUCAAAUGUCCAACAAGGAGGAUUUUUAGCAAGGGAAUAUUCUGCCCUGGCCUUGCACUUUUGUUAUAUCCCAUGUUUUUCUCGAAUGCUUAAAAAUAAUUUUUAAUCCUGUCAAGAGUCUUACAUGUAAACAGCGUUUUUUUUUCUAGGGUGGGGGGGUUCUUUUGGUGGGGAAGGAGGGUGUGGAUGGGGAAUUGAAGAAAAAACUCCAAUGGGGACAAAAAACUUCUUAGGAUUUGGGAGUAGUUAGCUUUCUUCUUCUUUGUGUUUUUGUUUGUUUUCUUGCUAACUGAAAUUUUUAUCGAGAUCCUUGUAGAAAUACACGCAGGUGUCAAAAAGUAAGACGGAGAGGUCCCUCUGUACAACUUGCCCAGUUUCCCCAAUUGGUAACAUUUUUGCAGGCCUCUGGGAUGAUAAACAUCACCACCAGGCUGUUGACAUCGAUGCAGUCCGCCGGUCUCAUUCCGAUUUCCAAUUUCAAUUGUACUCGUUUGUGUGCGUGCAUCAUUAGCUUCUUACUUGGAGUAGCUUGUAUUAUUGACCUGCUAUCCAUCAUUCCAUGCAUAAUGGUUAAUACACAACAUCUGAUUCUUCAGCUCUUGCCAUGUGGCGGGCACAGUGCCAAGGACUUUACAUGCAUGAUGUCCAUUAAUCCCCAUAACAUUCUUGCCUCCUUCUUCUGGUAAUAGAAGCCCUGCCUCCCCCACCGGCCAAAGUAAGUGCCUUGUUUUCCUCCAGCCAAGAGGUGGGGGCGUGUCUAAAUGGACCCACCGGAUACUCUCUCCAGGAUUUGACCCUGAAAGAGGACACAAAGACUGGCCUUAUCAGACCUUGAUGAGCUCGUCCGCUGGGCCUUCCAACAAGACUUGAGCGGCCCUCAUCCCAUCUGAGACCCGGUGCUUCACACUUUCUUCUCUUAUCGACUCCACAUCCUUCCUGUAGAUCCCCUUUCCGAGGUCAGCAGGGUCUGUUCCUGCUGCCUGCGGCCAAGCCCACCCAAUGAGUGGGUGCUGGGAUCACGAGUCUCUGUUUAGAGCAGGAAGCAGGCUGAAGGAGUCGGGGGACUUGCCCAGGCCACCUGGCCGCAAAGUGGCAGAGCAGGGACACAGAGCAGCUUGCCUGUGUCCAGAGCUGAUGGCUUAGCCAUUGGGCCACUGCCUCCUGCUGCUCGUAGGGCUGGAGAGAGCUGGCAUCUGUCACCCCACGGUCCCUUCUUUGGGACACGUCAAGGUGGUGAGUUCAUCCAUGGGCUGAAAUGCGUUCUCAGGCCUCAGAGCGGACAUUCUGCCCGGGGGCUAUUUUCUCAGGACAGGACACGCCUCCCUAGGACUGAUCCCCGUUUCUGAUGCCAUUACCUAAGUACCGUGCCAAAAGGCAUCUAGCACUCGCUGAUGAAACGCAUCCCUCCGGAUCCGUCCUUCCCUGAACCUCUCUCCCAAGGGUCCGAGCACAGGAAAUAUUGUUUUACCACUCGUGACAUUUACUGCAGCAAUGUCUUGAAAAUAAAAAGGGAGAGAGACAGAGCAAGGGGGAAAUGCAUACAUUAAACUUUUGGGUCACCACCA